AGAGUUUGAUCCUGGCUCAGGAUGAACGCUGGCGGCAUGCCUAAGACAUGCAAGUCGAACGGAGCGAACUUAUGAAAAUGGAGUGCUUGCACAAAGUUGGAAUUUGACCUCGCUUAGUGGCGAAAGGGUGAGUAACACGUGGGAAUCUGCCUUUAAGACUGGGACAACAGUUGGAAACGACUGCUAAUACCGGAUGAUAUAUAAGAUGAUACGUUAUCUUAUAUUAAAAGAAGCCUUUAAAGCUUCACUUAAAGAUGAGCCUGCGGCGUAUUAGCUAGUUGGUGAGGUAAUGGCUCACCAAGGCGACGAUGCGUAGCCGGACUGAGAGGUUGAUCGGCCACAUUGGGACUGAGACACGGCCCAAACUCCUACGGGAGACAGCAGUUAGGAAUAUUCGUCAAUGGGGGAAACCCUGAACGAGCAAUGCCGCGUGAGUGAUGACGGUCCUUUGGAUUGUAAAACUCUUUUAUUAGGGACGAACGACUAGUAUAGGAAAUGAUACUAGAGUGACGGUACCUUUUGAAUAAGCCCCGGCUAACUACGUGCCAGCAGCCGCGGUAAUACGUAGGGGGCGAGCGUUAUCCGGAUUUAUUGGGUGUAAAGCGUGUGUAGGCGGUUUUUUAAGUCUAAGGUUUAAGCCCGGAGCUCAACUCCGGUACGCCUUAGAAACUGAUUUACUUGAGUGUGGUAGAGGCAAAUGGAAUUUCUAGUGUAGCGGUAGAAUGCGUAGAUAUUAGAAGGAACACCGGUGGCGAAGGCGAUUUGCUGGGCCAUUACUGACGCUGAGACACGAAAGCGUGGGGAGCAAAUAGGAUUAGAUACCCUAGUAGUCCACGCCGUAAACG
rnacentral:rRNA from 1 species